rnacentral:rRNA from 1 species
UACAGAGGCCUCAAGCGUUGUUCGGAUUCAUUGGGCGUAAAGGGUGCGUAGGUGGCUUGUUAAGUUGAAGGUGAAAUCUCGGGGCUCAACUCCGAAACUGCCUUCAAUACUGGCGAGCUCGAGGAUUGUAGAGGAGAAUGGAAUUCACGGUGUAGCAGUGAAAUGCGUAGAUAUCGUGAGGAAGACCAGUGGCGAAGGCGAUUCUCUGGGCAAUUCCUGACACUGAGGCACGAAGGCCAGGGGAGCAAACGGG